UCCUCCGCCCUCUUCUCUAAAAGCAAAUUAAGCAUGUGGGACCAAACAUGUCAUUGAGACUGAACGGUGGGAAGUAACGCGUCAGUAAGACUGCUUUUCAGGACAGUUCUUCCUCCUCACGUCCCCUCAGCUGCAAACUAGAAAAAAAUAUUAAAAUUUUGCUACUCUUAUGGGUGAGUGGAAAUACAUUCGACACUCUCCUCUCAUAAGUGUGGUGACAGAGAUUAAACCGUCUUGUUAAAGAGCGGCAAAAAGCUAAAAGCCCUGGAAACGGAAGAUGAUAAACAGUAGGGGACUGCAGAGGAGGCGGCAUCAGGCGACCGGGAUAUGCACACGAAUUCUUCUGGAGAGGAUCGGAUCAUCGGAGCGGCGACGGAUUUCAUGGUUCCUGUCUUUCUGGCG
rnacentral:lncRNA from 1 species